rnacentral:rRNA from 1 species
GUGCCAGCAGCCGCGGUAAUACGUAGGUGGCAAGCGUUGUCCGGAUUUAUUGGGCGUAAAGCGAGCGCAGGUGGUUCUUUAAGUCUGAUGUGAAAGCCCCCGGCUCAACCGGGGAGGGUCAUUGGAAACUGGGGAACUUGAGUGCAGAAGAGGAGAGUGGAAUUCCAUGUGUAGCGGUGAAAUGCGUAGAUAUAUGGAGGAACACCAGUGGCGAAGGCGACUCUCUGGUCUGUAACUGACACUGAGGCUCGAAGCGUGGGGAGCAAACAGAUAGAUACCUGGUAGUCC